UACGGAGGGAGCUAGCGUUAUUCGGAAUUACUGGGCGUAAAGCGUACGUAGGCGGCUUUGUAAGUAAGAGGUGAAAGCCCGGAGCUCAACUCCGGAACUGCCUUUUAGACUGCAUCGCUUGAAUCCAGGAGAGGUGAGUGGAAUUCCGAGUGUAGAGGUGAAAUUCGUAGAUAUUCGGAAGAACACCAGUGGCGAAGGCGGCUCACUGGAGCUGGUAUUGACGCUGAGGUACGGAAAGCGUGGGGAGCAAACAGG
rnacentral:rRNA from 1 species